GCACGCGGCUGCAGCUCCAACUACAUUUCCAUCUGGCGCGCUUCACUGUGCCUGAUCCUGCGCACACAAGGACAAGAGAAGCAUCAUCCCGCGGUACUCAUUCUGUCCCACCCGGUCUCGGACGGACCCUGUAGCACACUGCAAGGACAUUAAAGCGGUUGUGGACAGCAGUAACCCUGCUGCUUGGCUAAACUUUCUACUUGGUGCGCUUUUCCAUUUACACAGCGCAUCUCACGGGUUCGGACCCGGUGACUCAUCCGUCACUUUCCGUCAUCAGUCCAUCACGGACUGCUCGGCUGCGCCAUGUCUCCUUUCCGGCGGUCACUGCUCUAACCGGGACCGGGACACCCCCUUUGACCGUCCUAUCCUCUUUAACACUCAAACUCGAGACGUUAAACCUGUGCGCAGUCGAAGAAAGCAGUAUGAUGCGCGUUUUUGCGGCUUUUCCUCGUGGUUGUCCCGUUACCUGAUGUUACGCAGCAGGUCCUCAACCGGCCGUGGAGCCUUAGACUAGAAUAUUUCACGCGUCUGUGCUUUUUUUUUUUGUUUGUUUGUUUGUUUGUUUGUUUUGUUUUUUUCUCUCAAAUAGACUGAUUGACCUGGAAAAAAGCCAUAAGAUUUCAUUCCAUCAGGAGCCGGACAUCUGCUGCAGAGCUGCAUAAAGACAGAUGUUCAUUUGCAUCAAGCAGCACCAGGAAUGUCAAAGCUGAGGACCUUGUGCUUUGCAAUGUCUCACUAACAUUACACUAUGCAAUCUUUUGCCAUAUUAACCUCAAGAAAGAGAAAAAAAUGAGAAAAAAUAACUGUUUAUAGCUGCUCUAAUGUGUGUGAUAACAGAAAUGUAUCUUGUUUCAUGGACGUUCUACAUCAAACAUAACUUUAAACAAAUUAAAAAAGGCCCAUGGUGCCUUU